ACGGAAGGCAGCAGUGGGGAAUAUUGGGCAAUGGGCGCAAGCCUGACCCAGCAACGCCGCGUGAAGGAAGAAGGCUUUCGGGUUGUAAACUUCUUUUAAGGGGGAAGAGCAGAAGACUGUACCCCUAGAAUAAGCCACGGCUAACUACGUGCCAGCAGCCGCGGUAAUACGUAGGUGGCAAGCGUUGUCCGGAUUUACUGGGUGUAAAGGGCGUGUAGCCGGGGAGGCAAGUCAGAUGUGAAAUCUAUGGGCUUAACCCAUAAACUGCAUUUGAAACUGUUUCUCUUGAGUGCUGGAGGGGCAAUCGGAAUUCCUUGUGUAGCGGUGAAAUGCGUAGAGAUUGGGAAGAACACCAGUGGCGAAGGCGGCUUACUGGGCUGUAACUGACACUGAGGCGCGAAAGCGUGGGGAGCGAACAGGAUUAGAUACCCUGGUA
rnacentral:rRNA from 1 species